CUGCGGAGGGAUCAUUACUGAGUUUACGCUCUACAACCCUUUGUGAACAUACCUACAACUGUUGCUUCGGCGGGUAGGGUCUCCGCGACCCUCCCGGCCUCCCGCCUCCGGGCGGGUCGGCGCCCGCCGGAGGAUAACCAAACUCUGAUUUAACGACGUUUCUUCUGAGUGGUACAAGCAAAUAAUCAAAACUUUUAACAACGGAUCUCUUGGUUCUGGCAUCGAUGAAGAACGCAGCGAAAUGCGAUAAGUAAUGUGAAUUGCAGAAUUCAGUGAAUCAUCGAAUCUUUGAACGCACAUUGCGCCCGCCAGCAUUCUGGCGGGCAUGCCUGUUCGAGCGUCAUUUCAACCCUCAAGCUCUGCUUGGUGUUGGGGCCCUACAGCCGAUGUAGGCCCUCAAAGGUAGUGGCGGACCCUCCCGGAGCCUCCUUUGCGUAGUAACUUUACGUCUCGCACUGGGAUCCGGAGGGACUCUUGCCGUAAAACCCCCCAAUUUUCCAAAGGUGACCUCGGAUCAGG
rnacentral:rRNA from 1 species